rnacentral:rRNA from 1 species
AUUGAACGCUGGCGGAAUGCUUUACACAUGCAAGUCGAACGGCAGCACGGACUUCGGUCUGGUGGCGAGUGGCGAACGGGUGAGUAACAUAUCGGAACGUAUCCAAUAAUGGGGGAUAACGAGUCGAAAGAUUCGCUAAUACCGCAUACGCCCUACGGGGGAAAGCUGGGGACCUUCGGGCCUGGCGUUAAUGGAGCGGCCGAUAUCUGGUUAGCUAGUUGGUGAGGAAAAGGCUCACCAAGGCGACGAGCAGUAGCUGGUCUGAGAGGACGACCAGCCACACGGGAACUGAGACACGGUCAAGACUCCGACGGGAGGCAGCAGGGGGAAAUUUUGGACAAGGGGCGAAAGCCUGAUCCAGCCAUUCCGCGUGAGGGAAGAAGGCCUUGGGGUUGAAAAGCUCUUUCGCAAGGGAAGAAAACUUAGCCACUAACAUUGGUUGAGGUUGAGGUUACCUUGAUAAGAAGCACCGGCUAACUACGUGCCAGCCGCCGCGGUAA